rnacentral:rRNA from 1 species
GUAAAAUUUUAAAAGUCGAACAGACUCUCUUUUAUAACUUCUGCACCAUAAAGAAAAUUUAAUUCAACAUCGAGGUCGCAAACUUUUUUUUCGAUAUGAACUCUCAAAAAAAAUAACGCUGUUAUCCCUAAAGUAACUUAAUCUCUUUAUCCAUACUAAGGAUCUUUUAUUUUUCAAAUACCCCUGUUUUCAUUUUAAGACAGUUUCCAAACUAUACCUCUGUCACCCCAACACAACAUAUUUCUUUUCUUUAUUAUAUUCACAUAUAAAUCAAUAAAAAAUUAAUAAAUGUAAAGAUUUAUAGGGUCUUAUCGUCCCUUAAAUUUAUUUAAGCCUUUUCACUUAAAUGUAAAAUUCAAAAAAAAUAUUAAAGACAGAUUUUUCUUUGUUCAACCAUUCAUUCAAGCCUUCAAUUAAAAAACUAAU